GACGAACGCUGGCGGCAUGCCUAAUACAUGCAAGUUGAACGAUGAUAUUCUCUGCUUGCAGAGAAUUGAAGAGUAGCGAACGGGUGAGUAACACGUGGGGAACCUGCCCAUGAGAGGGGGAUAACAUUCGGAAACGGAUGCUAAUACCGCAUAAUGCUUUGGACCGCCUGGUCCAGAGAUGAAAGACGGCUUUUGCUGUCACUCAUGGAUGACCCCGCGCCGUAUUAGCUAGUUGGUGAGGUAAUGGCUCACCAAAGCUGUGAUACGUAGCCGACCUGAGAGGGUGAUCGGCCACACUGGGACUGAGACACGGCCCAGACUCCUACGGGAGGCAGCAGUAGGGAAUCUUCCACAAUGGGCGAAAGCCUGAUGGAGCAAUGCCGCGUGAAUGAAGAAGGUCUUCGGAUCGUAAAGUUCUGUUAUUAGAGAAGAACAAGUCAAGGAGUAACUGUCUUGACUUUGACGGUACCUAACCAGAAAGUCACGGCUAACUACGUG
rnacentral:rRNA from 1 species